rnacentral:rRNA from 1 species
ACUCCUACGGGAGGCAGCAGUGGGGAAUAUUGCACAAUGGGCGCAAGCCUGAUGCAGCCAUGCCGCGUGUGUGAAGAAGGCCUUCGGGUUGUAAAGCACUUUCAGUCGUGAGGAAGGUAGUGUAGUUAAUAGCUGCAUUAUUUGACGUUAGCGACAGAAGAAGCACCGGCUAACUCCGUGCCAGCAGCCGCGGUAAUACGGAGGGUGCGAGCGUUAAUCGGAAUUACCGGGCGUAAAGCGCAUGCAGGUGGUUUGUUAAGUCAGAUGUGAAAGCCCGGGGCUCAACCUCGGAAUAGCAUUUGAAACUGGCAGACUAGAGUACUGUAGAGGGGGUAGGAAUUUCAGGUGUAGCGGUGAAAUGCGUAGAGAUCUGAAGGAAUACCGGUGGCGAAGGCGGCCCCUGGACAGAUACUGACACUCAGAUGCGAAAGCGUGGGAGCAAACAGGAUUAGAU